rnacentral:rRNA from 1 species
GACGAACGCUGGCGGCGUGCUUAACACAUGCAAGUCGAACGGAAAGGCCCUGCUUGCAGGGUACUCGAGUGGCGAACGGGUGAGUAACACGUGGGUGAUCUGCCCUGCACUUCGGGAUAAGCCUGGGAAACUGGGUCUAAUACCGGAUAGGAGCCAUUUUUAGUGUGAUGGUUGGAAAGUUUUUUCGGUGUAGGAUGAGCUCGCGGCCUAUCAGCUUGUUGGUGGGGUAAUGGCCUACCAAGGCGGCGACGGGUAGCCGGCCUGAGAGGGUGGACGGCCACAUUGGGACUGAGAUACGGCCCAGACUCCUACGGGGGGCAGGAGGGGGGAAUAUUGCACAAGGGGCGCAAGCCUGAUGCAGCGACGCCGGGUGGGGGAUGACGGCCUUCGGGUUGUAAACCCCUUUCGCAAGGGACGAAGCUUUUGGGACGGUCCCUAGAUAAGAAGCACCGGCUAACUACGU